rnacentral:ncRNA from 1 species
UAUCGCCGGGGGUGCUUCGCGAUGGCGGGGCUGAGAGCAUACCCCUAGACCUGACCCAGGUAAUGCUGGCGGAGGAAGGGCGA